ensembl:antisense
AGCAGACUCAAGCGCAUGGAGAACAUUAGAAACUGGACACAUAUACCACAUCCACAGUAGACAUCUGCAGUGAUUUUCAUCGCUUGUAUUUAUUUUCAGAGGAAAUGCAGCUCAGCACCACCUUCAAGAUGGGCAGUUUCCAGUGGCACCACGUGGAGGAACGGACUUCGCCACCUAUAUAUACAGGGUUGCACCUUGAGCGACGUCAUCUUUACAGCCGGGCUCAGCAGAGACCACAUUUGGAGGGUCAUCAUGACUACAGCCGGGCUCAGCAGAGAA